rnacentral:rRNA from 1 species
GAUGAACGCUGGCGGCGUGCCUAAUACAUGCAAGUCGAGCGAACAGACGAGGAGCUUGCUCCUCUGACGUUAGCGGCGGACGGGUGAGUAACACGUGGAUAACCUACCUAUAAGACUGGGAUAACUUCGGGAAACCGGAGCUAAUACCGGAUAAUAUAUUGAACCGCAUGGUUCAAUAGUGAAAGACGGUUUUGCUGUCACGUAUAGAUGGAUCCGCGCCGCAUUAGCUAGUUGGUAAGGUAACGGCUUACCAAGGCAACGAUGCGUAGCCGACCUGAGAGGGUGAUCGGCCACACUGGAACUGAGACACGGUCCAGACUCCUACGGGAGGCAGCAGUAGGGAAUCUUCCGCAAAGGGCGAAAGCCUGACGGAGCAACGCCGCGUGAGUGAUGAAGGUCUUCGGAUCGUAAAACUCUGUUAUUAGGGAAGAACAAAUGUGUAAGUAACUAUGCACGUCUUGACGGUACCUAAUCAGAAAGCCACGGCUAACUACGUG